rnacentral:lncRNA from 1 species
AGACGGAGUCUUGCUCUGUCGCCCAGGCUGGAGUGCAAUGGUGAGAUCUCGGCUCACUGCAACCUUCGCUUCCUGGGUUCAAGCAAUUCUCCCGCCUCAGCCUCCCAAGUAGCUGGGAUUACAGGCGUCCGCCACCACACCGGCUAAUUUUUGUAUUUUUAGUAGAGACGAGGUUUCACCAUGUUGGCCAGGCUGGUCUCGAACUCCUGGCCUCAAGUGAUCCGCCCACCUUGGCCUCCCAAAGUGCUGGGAUUAUAGGCGUGAGCCACCAUGACCAGCAUGUCCUCUGCUUUUAAUACAUCUGCCUAAACCACAAAAGUCCUGAGUAAAGUGACACUUUGCCCAGUAGAACCUUCAUUGAGGGAUUAAACCUCAGAGCUUCACAGUGGAUCUUACCUCGCCAGCACACUGCUGCCAACAAGUGUUAUCGAUAACUUCCCUUCAUCAUUUAGCUGAUGCAGGUUAAUUUCAUCCCGGAAUAUGUGGAAUGAUUCGGAAAUAUUUAGCUCUUCUAAAAUAAACCUCGUCUCGGUGAAGUAGUUGAAUUCAGUUCUUGGUAUGUUCAGCACUGGUAAACACAGAACCCCUGGUGGACUGACCUACCAAGAAAAAAGUUGACUGAAUUACUGAAAAUAGCAGGAGGAAAGAAUACAAUUACAUUUUCUCCAGCCUGGGGGUAACUGGUAAAAGGAAUAGGAGUCUUCUGGCCUCACUAAACCACUUGGCAUUCAUAAUCAAAUUUUCCUGAACCCAAUUAAUAGAGUAUUUUCCUCUGAGUGGCCCCUAACAUUUUUUAACCUCUUGUUACCCUACUUGAAACAUCUCAUGCUUUAUUUUAUGUCUCAUUUUAGACCCUGCACCAUUUGUAUAUAUAAAUAUAUACUACAUAUGAUUAAAAUUUAAAUAGAUAACAUUUGUAUAUAAAUUUAAAUAUAUGCAUAUAUAUAAAUUGUGCAGGGGCUAAAAUGUAAAUAAAUACAUUUAUAUAUAAUACACAUUCUCUUCUUUAAGAGUAACAAACUCACAUAUCUUUAUAAGAUUGGCAGAAAAUUAGGACAAUUGAGGCAGGGUGGGUGGGGACUGUGGGGACAGGGGAAGGCACAUACAUUGCAUCUAAAUGAGAUGCCUGUCACUCAGCUCCAGCCAAUGGUUCACAUGUAAAAAUUCAGGCCCAGUGUAGUUAAAACUUUAAAUUAACGGGC